CGCCGGCCAGCCCAGACCACGGGACGGGAGAGACUGCCCUCACAGAGGAAGGCGCUGUUGGAUCAGAAGGCUGGAAGAGACCAGAGAUGCUGACUCCUGUGGACACAGGCUGACCAGAGGCAGGAGGAUCUCAUCCAGGCCAGCCCCCGACCUGUGCACCCAGAGCAGCAAGCAGUUCCAGGCCUGCCCGGAGCCGCCACCAACUUACAUCAUGGGAAACCCAGAGAUGUGAUAUCAGGGACAUGGUGAGAAGUCCUCAAAGGUAGACCUCUGAGUCACAGGGUGGGGCAAGGGUGAGGCAUUGCUGAGCCCUAAACCAUCCAGGUUGGUUCUAAACACUCUGAAGCUACAACUGUGGGGGAUUUUUAAGUAACAGCAAAAGCUGUGGUCUUCAGAAACUAUAUUUUUCACUUGGCCUAUCUGGACAAAACAGAUGAAAUACAAAGGUGUAUUAUAUCUACACUUUCAACUUAUUCUGUUGGUAGUUGGGGGGGCUCAAAGUAUCUUGAAACCAUUGUGUCCCAACCGGCCUCAUUUGCUGCCCUCGUUGAGGGGAACAAUAGGAGUACUCUCUCUGAGACCACAGCUUAAAAUCCUACCAAGUUGAAUUACUUGAGAUGUCUAAUUGUGAGGUACUAAGGGGAUGAGUUGAAACCCUAAAAUCUAGCCAUGUUUUGCUACGUCGCUAGUUCCAUCAAAUUCUAGCUUCUCCAGUGCAGUCUGAGUUGGUGCCUCUUCCAUAUCACUGGGUAAGGCUUGUGGUGUCCUGACCAAAUAGAUGGCAUUCUUGAGGGAAUUCUGUAACACAUUCCUAGGGGGUUGGAAUAUUGUAGAGUUCCCCUUGGAGAUUGCUUUCCUGAGCCUGAACUCACUCAACAGUAACCAACUCAUUUUGUGAACCUACUAUGCCCUGUGCCAUAGGAGACAUACAAAUAAUUUCCACCCUGCUCACCCACAAGCAGUUCAUAGAAAGGCAGGAACAAGCCUCAAGGGGAGACUUCCUCUCUAUUUUUGACAAGUAUUGCAGGAGUAAGGACCUCUUGUUGGCUUCAUCUGGCUUCCAGAAAACAGGCUGUCAGCAAAAAUCAAAUCCACCCUUGGAAUGAGCAUUGGCCACAUUUUUUUAAAAUAUAUAUUUUAUUGA